CUACGGGAGGCAGCAGUGAGGAAUAUUGCGCAAUGGACGAAAGUCUGACGCAGCGACGCCGCGUGGGGGAUGAAGGUUUUCGGAUUGUAAACCCCUUUCGGGCGGAACGAAUCCCGGCGGGAUGAAUAAGCCUGCCGGUUGACGGUACCGCAAGAAGAAGCCCCGGCUAACUCUGUGCCAGCAGCCGCGGUAAUACAGAGGGGGCAAGCGUUGUUCGGAAUUAUUGGGCGUAAAGGGUGUGUAGGCUGUUUCGCAAGUCAGGGGUGAAAGCCCUCGGCUUAACCGAGGAAGUGCCUUUGAUACUGCGAGACUUGAGUGCGGAAGAGGAGAGUGGAAUUCCCAGUGUAGCGGUGAAAUGCGUAGAUAUUGGGAAGAACACCGGCGGCGCAAGCGCGGCUCUCUGGUCCUUUACUGAC
rnacentral:rRNA from 1 species